rnacentral:rRNA from 1 species
UACGUAGGGUGCAAGCGUUGUCCGGAAUUAUUGGGCGUAAAGAGCUUGUAGGCGGUUUGUCGCGUCUGCUGUGAAAAUUCGGGGCUCAACCCCGAACUUGCAGUGGGUACGGGCAGACUAGAGUGUGGUAGGGGAGACUGGAAUUCCUGGUGUAGCGGUGAAAUGCGCAGAUAUCAGGAGGAACACCGAUGGCGAAGGCAGGUCUCUGGGCCAUAACUGACGCUGAGAAGCGAAAGCAUGGGGAGCGAACAGG